UGCCCUUUCAAGCAGUGCCACAGCCUCCUCAAGCUAUUCUUGCACCCCCUACAGCGGUGCGUCAUGCGAUUCUCUCGAUGGUACUGCCUGUGCCUUCUACAGCAGCGCCCCCAUAGAAUCUUAUUUUAUUUGCGGCUCCACAGUCACUACCUCAACCAGAGCUGCAAGCACCUCCUCAAAGUCUGGAGAGGAGAUUAACUCAUCAAAGUCGCCUUAGAACCCAACAGCCGGCCAGGUGAUGCUCUCCAAGCCCAUAGUCGGGCCA
rnacentral:lncRNA from 1 species